CUAGAAAGAAAAAAAAAAUCAUGAAGGAAAGAGAAGGAAAAGGUUAUCACUGGCAUACCUAAACAUUAUCAGGUGAGUGAAGGAGAAUAAAAAAAAAAUCACAAAAGUUUUUGCUUUUGUUUUUGUUUUUUAAUAUGAUAAAAAGCGCUGAGAUGGCUGGGGUAAGGAGCAUGCAGUGCUCUGGCAGGCCACCAGAGUUGGUUCCCAGCACCCAUAUUACAUAACACAUCUGCCUGUAACUCUAGCUCCAUAGGGUCUGACAUCCCGACAUCCACUUGUGUGACAAGACUUUCCCUGAGGAGAUGUAACACAUGGCUACUUACUGCAGACAGACAAAAGCUUGGAUACCACCAAAGCUCAACACGUCUUAUCGGGGCUAUGUACAAGAAUUUGGGUGAAGGGUUACUGCACAUUUCAGGUGUUCAAUUAUUGUUUCUGUGAAUUUCCAACCCCACUUUCUAAAAUAGAGUCUAUUACUCCUGAUUCUGACUUUCUUUUUCAUUAGGUCACAGGAAAGCAGCUUCUAACCUGCUGUAUUGUCUCUAAAACCACUACUUGGUUUUGGUGGUACAUUAUAUGGUCUGUUACAGGAGGAUUUCAUCCAAAUGAUCUCACUGGAGUAAAACCCACUGAGGUCAUUUAACCAAGUGGUGCUGAGAUAGUGUUUGUCCACAUCCUGAUAUAUAGUUUGGUUGAGGGAAUCAUUCAUGACAAACUUCUGCCUGACGAGCUUCAUCAGUUUGUAUCUCAAAUCACUCUGGGUCUCAUGAUGGAGCCCUGGCAGGCUUGGGAUUCACUUGACCGACAAGAAUAGACUUGGAAUCACAAAGAUUCUCCUGCAUCUACUUCCCACCGGGAAGCAAGUUCCCAAGUGACAAGGAAGACUACCAGUAUUCCCAGUCUCUAAUUCAGAUGAGUAUAUGCUAAGUAUGGGGAACUGAAGCCCAGAGAGAUUAAGGAACAUGACUAAGGCGGUGGCAGCUAGCAGAGGUCAUGAGCCAAUGAACCACGGCUGCUUUCUCUCCAACAGAAGACCUUUACAUGACCUUUGCAGUAUGGCCAAGAAAGGAGUCCUUGAAUCAUGGGUUAUGGACUGCAGGUCAUCUUCAGUGAAGGUCUCACUGAAACUCAGCCGUCUCUUCUUCAGAAUCUUCCCGUUGCUUGACGUUGCUGAUACUGUCACCCGGCUCUCCUUGAAGUGAGCAACACCAGCUGUGGUCUCUGAUCUCCUGAAAGCUGACAAUGAAGCCAGUGCUGACCCCUGACCCCAGGCAGAUAAUUACACUUUGAAUUAUCUACAUAAUAAAGGUAUGAAACAGAGGCACUUGUUGAUCUUGGACUGGGAGACAAGUGUGGAGAGAAAAGGGAACAUUCAGGACCAAGCAGAUGUUAUGAGGGUCAAGUAUAUCAAAGCCUGAAGGCUAAGAGCUCAGAGCCACUGGUGGAGGGAGAUGGGCUGGUAAGCUGAGAAUGGAGGACUGGAAGGAGUGCAGGAGCCAGACCAACAGGGCCUCUUAUAGCCCCCGGGAAGUCUUUUCUGGAGGGUUACUUCGAAGAUAUUCAAGCUCUGCCUAUUCAUAACUUAAUCAGUUUUACACUUUUGUUUUCGUGCUGCUAGAGAUGGAACCAGGAGGUCCUAAUUAAGCCUCUACCACUGAGCUGUAUCCCCAACUAGCUUUGUCUCUUUGAUGGUGACAGCUUUGAGUCUGAGAACUAUUCUAGGUUGCAAACCAGCACACAGAGAGAUGACAACGUAGCUCUAACUGUAUCAAAAGCAGUCUUUCUACCUAAACUCAAGUGUGUUUGACUAAGAUGUUCCAGGAGCCCAGGAGCAGAGACGACAGGAGAUUCAAACGUGAGCAUCAGGAGGAACACACACAGAUGGAGUUCAGUCAUUGCAUCACUGCGGGGCUGGCUAGCUGUGACGUCUUCUCUCUGCUUUAGCUCACUCCUUCCCUUAUGGAUGCUUUCUGUUUCUGAAUUCCCUUUCUCUCACCUCUUGAGAUGCUGAGUAAUGGAGUCUUUGCCUCUUCCUUGCCUUCUUUUCUGAAUGCCCUUCCAAAGUCAUCAGCGGGCUUCCUGUGUGGCAACCCUGGUGUCUGGACC
rnacentral:lncRNA from 1 species